rnacentral:rRNA from 1 species
GACAGAGGGUGCAAACGUUGCUCGGAUUUACUGGGCGUAAAGCGCAUGUAGGCUGGCGAAUAAGUCGGGUGUGAAAUCCCUGGGCUCAACCUAGGAACUGCAUCCGAAACUGUUCACCUAGAGUGGUGGAGAGGAAAGCGGAAUUCCGGGUGUAGAGGUGAAAUUCGUAGAUAUCCGGAGGAACACCAGUGGCGAAGGCGGCUUUCUGGACACCAACUGACGCUGAGAUGCGAAAGCGUGGGGAGCAAAC